GAGGAAGUAAAAGUCGUAACAAGGUCUCCGUUGGUGAACCAGCGGAGGGAUCAUUACCGAGUUAUACAACUCCCAAACCCACUGUGAACCUUACCUCAGUUGCCUCGGCGGGAACGCCCCGGCCGCCUGCCCCCGCGCCGGCGCCGGACCCAGGCGCCCGCCGCAGGGACCCCAAACUCUCUUGCAUUACGCCCAGCGGGCGGAAUUUCUUCUCUGAGUUGCACAAGCAAAAACAAAUGAAUCAAAACUUUCAACAACGGAUCUCUUGGUUCUGGCAUCGAUGAAGAACGCAGCGAAAUGCGAUAAGUAAUGUGAAUUGCAGAAUUCAGUGAAUCAUCGAAUCUUUGAACGCACAUUGCGCCCGCCAGCAUUCUGGCGGGCAUGCCUGUUCGAGCGUCAUUUCAACCCUCGAGCCCCCCCCGGGGGCCUCGGUGUUGGGGGACGGCACACCAGCCGCCCCCGAAAUGCAGUGGCGACCCCGCCGCAGCCUCCCCUGCGUAGUAGCACACACCUCGCACCGGAGCGCGGAGGCGGUCACGCCGUAAAACGCCCAACUUUCUUAGAGUUGACCUCGGAUCAGGUAGGAAUACCCGCUGAACUUAAGCAUAUCAAUAG
rnacentral:rRNA from 1 species